AAGUUGGAAGAGGUUGAUGGGCGGUUUGAGUUUAUGCAGUUUCAUGAAAAAGAAUUUUCUGAUUACUCCUUGUCUUCUGCAUCUGAUUGUUCUGACUCAAGCUUCAGCUCAAAUGCAAGUACAUCAACUAUACUUCUAGAUGAGGGUCCCAGGAAGAAAACAAGAGUUGAGGGUACUGUUGAUGCAGCAUCUGCUAAAAAGUUAAUUGAAGGUGUACUUGGAACCAAUUCAGGUGGUGAAGAGGUUCUCCAGGAAUAUCACACAACACAAACUCUAACAGAUGCUACCAGAAGAAAAAUGGUCAAUAUAAUAGUGGCUCACAUGAUUGAUUGCCAUGGGCACCUCCCCACCAAAGCUGUUAGAGAACAGUACGCGCUAGGGGUAGUGACAUUGUUCCCAUCCCUGAAAGACCCAUACUCCAAGAAAGGCUAUGUAUAGUCACUACUAUUGCACUUUGUUUACAUAAUUUUCAUGCUGUGCAUCAUUGGGAUUUGUGUGCGUUGACAUUUAAGUUCUAAAAAUUUUCAGAUUGACAACACAUUAUUUUUGAAUGUAUUUACAUUUUAGGAACACUUCUAUGAUGCUGCAAGCAGCACUGGAUACAUUUCUUGGCGUUUGAAAACGAUACAGAGAAAGACUAGAAGAGGAUCUGCAC
ensembl:lncRNA